rnacentral:tRNA from 1 species
ACGGAUUUAGUUCAAUGGUAGAAUAAUGGUCUCCAAAACCACUGAUGUGGGUUCAAUUCCUACAAUCCGUGCCA